rnacentral:lncRNA from 1 species
UGUAUUAAUGUAUGAUAAACUUCUUUUCAUGUUACAUGGACAUCGUUCUAAUUUUUUAUCCUUAAUUUAGCAAAACUGCAAAUACUCCCUAAAUCAUUGGACUAAUCACUAUAAAAUUGCUAUUCCCUAGAGAAACGGAGACAACAAAGGUUUCAAACCUCUUUGAAAUUCAUCAUAUGUUAUUACAUGAUUCAACUAUGCAUUAAA